AGUGAACGCUGGCGGUAGGCCUAACACAUGAAAGUCGAACGGCAGCACAGUAAGAGCUUGCUAUUACGGGUGGCGAGUGGCGGACGGGUGAGGUAUACAUCGGAAUCUACUUUUUCGUGGGGGAUAACGUAGGGAAACUUACGCUAAUACCGCAUAUCACCUACGGGUGAAAGCAGGGGAUCUUCGGACCUUGCGCGAUUGAAUGAGCCGAUGUCGGAUUAGCUAGUUGGCGGGGUAUAGGCCCACCAAGGCGACGAUCCGUAGCUGGUCUGAGAGGAUGAUCAGCCACACUGGAACUGAGCCACGGUCCAUACUCCUACGGCAGGCAGCAGUGUGUAAUAUUGGACAAUGGACGCAAGCCUGAUCCAGCCAUACCGCGUGGGUGACGAAGGCCUUCGGGUUGUAAAGCCCUUUUGUUGGGAAAGAAAAGCAGCUGGUUAAUACCCCGCUGUUCUGACGGUACCCAAAGAAUAAGCACCGGCUAACUUCGUG
rnacentral:rRNA from 1 species